GUAGGUGGCAAGCGUUGUCCGGAAUUAUUGGGCGUAAAGCGCGCGCAGGCGGUCCUUUAAGUCUGAUGUGAAAGCCCACGGCUCAACCGUGGAGGGUCAUUGGAAACUGGGGGACUUGAGUACAGAAGAGGAAAGCGGAAUUCCAAGUGUAGCGGUGAAAUGCGUAGAGAUUUGGGAGGAACACCAGUGGCGAAGGCGGCUUUCUGGUCUGUAACUGACGCUGAGGCGCGAAAGCGUGGGGAGCAAACAGGGAUUAGAUACCCUGGUAGUCCACGCCGUAAACGAUGAGUGCUAAGUGUUAGGGGGUUUCCCGCCCCUUAGUGCUGCAGCUAACGCAUUGAGCACUCCGCCUGGGGAGUACGGCCGCAAGGCUG
rnacentral:rRNA from 1 species